AAAGUCGUAACAAGGUUUCCGUAGGUGAACCUGCGGAAGGAUCAUUAGUGAAUUUAUAGCGUACCUGUUUAACCAGGGCGUGACCUCACUUUUUCAAACUCUGUGCACUUCUAAUGGGGGGGCCAAGGAAAGGCGAUUAGCUUCGCCUGGAAUUCGUGCCCGCUCGUUUUAUUAAACAUUUAAAGUCAAUGGUAUGGGAAAAAGAAAUGAUACAUAACAAAAAAAACUUUCAACAACGGAUCUCUUGGCUCUCGCAUCGAUGAAGAACGCAGCGAAAUGUGAUAAGUAAUGUGAAUUGCAGAAUUCAGUGAAUCAUCGAAUCUUUGAACGCAUCUUGCGCUCGCUGGUAUUCCGGCGAGCAUGUCUGUUUGAGUGUCGUGAACUCUUCAACCCCCCCUUUUUCUUAUGGAGAUUGGGGUGCGGCUUGGUUUCUGAAUGGUUGCUGGACUUGGUUUCCUUUCGGGGAUUCUAAAGUCGAAGCUCGUUCGUAAUGCAUUAGCAUCCUAACCUUCGAGAUCAGAUUGACUCGGCGUAAUAGACUAUUCGCUGAGGACAUGGCGUCCCUUUACUGGGGUGUCAUGGCUGGCCUUGGAAAAAAGAAAGCUUAUAAACCCCCGACUAUUAGUCAGAUCAAUUUAAGAUUAGACCUCAGAUCAGGCAGGAUUACCCGCUGAACUUAAGCAUAUCAAUAAGCGGAGGAAAAGAAACUAACAAGGAUUCCCCUAGUAACGGCGAGUGAAGCGGGAAAAGCUCAAAUUUGUAAUCUGGCGCCUUGGGCGUCCGAGUUGUAAUCUCGAGAAGUAUUUUCCGCGCUGGACCGCACAUAAGUCUGUUGGAAUACAGCGUCAUAGUGGUGAGAACCCCGUAUAGGGUGCGGAUGCCCAGUGCUUUGUGAUAUACUUUCGAAGAGUCNAGUUGUUUGGGAAUGCAGCUCAAAUUGGGUGGUAAAUUCCAUCUAAAGCUAAAUAUUGGCGAGAGACCGAUAGCGAACAAGUACCGUGAGGGAAAGAUGAAAGCACUUUGGAAAGAGAGUAACAGUACGUGAAAUUGUUGGAAGGGAACGCUUGA
rnacentral:rRNA from 1 species